UAUGGCCAUAUCAUAUUGAAACAUUGGUUCUCAUAUGAUCACCAAAGACAAGCAACAUCGAGCCUGGUCAGUACCUAGAUGGGUGAUAGCCUAGGAAUAACAAGUGCU